GGUACUCAUUCUCGGCC
rnacentral:sRNA from 1 species